rnacentral:rRNA from 1 species
UACAGAGGUCUCAAGCGUUGUUCGGAUUCAUUGGGCGUAAAGGGUGUGUAGGUGGCGCCGUAAGUCGGGUGUGAAAUCUCGGGGCUUAACUCCGAAACUGCAUUCGAUACUGCUCUGCUUGAGGACUGGAGAGGAGACUGGAAUUCACGGUGUAGCAGUGAAAUGCGUAGAUAUCGUGAGGAAGACCAGUGGCGAAGGCGGGUCUCUGGACAGUUCCUGACGCUGAGGCGCGAAGGCCAGGGGAGCAAACGGG